CAGAGGUCAAAUUUUCUCAAUUGUUAGAAUACUAUUUUACAUUGGUCUAUAAAUGAGAUUUCUAACAAUUGAGAAAAUUUGACCUCUGACCAAAUCACUAAAACCUUCCUCUCUAUUACAACCACACCCACCACCACAAAAAUGUAACAACAAAGGAACCUAUGCAGGGCAUAUAUUGAUGCCCCUUCCUCACAGUUCACGCGGCUAACAAGGAACUAACAGGGGAGACGUAAGAAGACAAAACAAAGAAAAUGAAAGAAAAGAAAAUGUGAACAGGAAAAUUAAUGCUGAUGAUUGUUUAAAAACAACACCAUUUACUCGGCUCAACAUCAGAAAACCUAGUGAAGGGGUGCACCAGCCCCGUACUACGAGUAUUUCCUCUUUACCCUGGGUGGCACUAUACAGUAUCCUCUCCUACCAUCAGUUGAAAGCUAUAAACUGCAUUUACCCACCAUCCCUUGGUUCAUUUCUUUCUAGGUGCGCUGUUCCUUUAGUAACCCAGGACUGAUUUGUGACAUCUAUGAGUCAAAUAGAACAGCCAACCAAACAUAUCAACUGCUAUGACAUGAUUCUCAAAGAUCACUUAUGAUCCUUUUACAGCCAUUUCCGGGGAGUUUUGUGGUAUUAAUGAGCCAUCCUCUCCACUUAACUGUAUGUCUUCUGAUGUGCCAUGUAAGCAAUCAGAACAGUUUCUAGAAGCAGCAGGCUCCAUCUCCCUAUGGUUUUCUGCUCCCGAGUUGCUGCUAUUAUCACAACAGUUCCUAGAAACAGCAGGUUCCUUCUCUUGAUCAUUGUCUUCAUCUAAGCCCUUGUUUGUGUCGGCUGUGCAAGGAGCUGUAUGCACUGAGCUUGCAGCCUUCUUACUGGGUAGCACUGCCUGGCUCAGUGUUGAACACAAAGACGCAAAUACACUCUCCCUUGAUUUUGAGUGUUUACUUAAUCGCUGCUUCUUUACUGGUUCAGCUUCCUUUUCCCUAGAAGGCAAUUUGCGCUUCAACUUAAGGGACUCCAUAGUUCCUUCAUCUUCUUCUAAGGUUUCCAGCUGUUUCUUAGGUGGUGGUCUAUAGUCUUCAUCAUCCUCAUCGUCAUCGUAGUCAACCAGUCCACCAGAUCUUAAUGUCGGAUAGCUUGCAGAUACUCCAUUGGAUAGCAGAGAUUGAGGGUGAACUUUUUUGGCAUGUGAUGCAGAUGCUGCGUCUUCUUCAUCACUAUCCUCAUUGAAGUAUUCUUCCUCUUCUUUUUCUAGAGCACGCUCAUCAAUUCGCCUUCGUGGAUCCAGUGUGCUACCACUAUUUUUUGUUGCACAAUUCUCUAGGCACUGCUCGUAUUUAA
rnacentral:misc_RNA from 1 species